UGGGGAAUAUUGGACAAUGGGCGAAAGCCUGAUCCAGCCAUGCCGCGUGUGUGAAGAAGGUCUUCGGAUUGUAAAGCACUUUAAGUUGGGAGGAAGGGCAGUAAGCGAAUACCUUGCUGUUUUGACGUUACCGACAGAAUAAGCACCGGCUAACUCUGUGCCAGCAGCCGCGGUAAUACAGAGGGUGCAAGCGUUAAUCGGAAUUACUGGGCGUAAAGCGCGCGUAGGUGGUUCGUUAAGUUGAAUGUGAAAGCCCCGGGCUCAACCUGGGAACUGCAUCCAAAACUGGCGAGCUAGAGCAGGGCAGAGGGUGGUGGAAUUUCCUGUGUAGCGGUGAAAUGCGUAGAUAUAGGAAGGAACACCAGUGGCGAAGGCGACCACCUGGGCUCAUACUGACACUGAGGUGCGAAAGCGUGGGGAGCAAACAGG
rnacentral:rRNA from 1 species